GAUGAACGCUGGCGGCGUGCCUAAUACAUGCAAGUCGAGCGAACAGACGAGGAGCUUGCUCCUCUGACUUUAGCGGCGGACGGGUGAGUAACACGUGGAUAACCUACCUAUAAGACUGAGAUAACUUCGGGAAACCGGAGCUAAUACCGGAUAAUAUAUUGAACCGCAUGGUUCAAUAGUGAAAGACGGUUUUGCUGUCACUUAUAGAUGGAUCCGCGCCGCAUUAGCUAGUUGGUAAGGUAACGGCUUACCAAGGCGACGAUGCGUAGCCGACCUGAGAGGGUGAUCGGCCACACUAGAACUGAGACACGGUCCAGACUCCUACGGGAGGCAGCAGUAGGGAAUCUUCCGCAAUGGGCGAAAGCCUGACGGAGCAACGCCGCGUGAGUGAUGAAGGUCUUCGGAUCGUAAAACUCUGUUAUUAGGGAAGAACAAAUGUGUAAGUAACUAUGCACGUCUUGACGGUACCUAAUCAGAAAGCCACGGCUAACUACGUG
rnacentral:rRNA from 1 species